CCUACGGGAGGCAGCAGUAGGGAAUUUUCGGCAAUGGGGGGAACCCUGACCGAGCAACGCCGCGUGAACGAAGAAGUUAUUCGUAAUGUAAAGUUCUUUUAACAGGGAAGAAAGAGACAUUUGACGGUACCUGAAGAAUAAGCUCCGGCUAACUACGUGCCAGCAGCCGCGGUAAUCCGUAGGGAGCGAGCGUUAUUCGGAAUUAUUGCGCGUAAAGAGUGCGUAAAUGACAUAGUAAGUCUUUUGUAAAAAUGCUGGGCUCAACCCGGUAGGGCAAAAGAUACUGGAAAGCUAGAGUAUGACAGAGGCAAGUGGAACGACAUGUGUAGCGGUAAAAUGCGUAAAUAUAUGUAAGAACACCAGUGGCGAAGGCGGCUUGCUGGGUCGAUACUGACAGUGAGGCACGAAAGCGUGGGGAGCAAACAGGAUUAGAUACCCUUGUAGUC
rnacentral:rRNA from 1 species